GUUCUGCAGUGGAGAUCCUAAUCCCUCUCAGCCGUGCAUACCUUUGUUCAUCAUUUUGAGAUGCUCUGGCUUUUGUAAUGCACAGUCUAUUCGUUUCUUGGUAUGCUUCCCUUUCUGCCGCUGUCUUUCUUUCCCUGGACAAAUAUAUACUUUUGGCUGACCUUGACAUUGUAGACAAAUUUGACACUUUCCUUAUACGCAUGGUUAUAUACGUAUACAGAAAUACACGGGUGAAGAAUAUAUUAAUCUUCUUUGAAGACAACGGCACCGUCCUAUACUAUCCGAAUCGGCGGUAAUUACCUAAUUCACUCACUAGACGACGAACACGCGCACAUUUACCCCACCACACAUAUAUGUAUAUUGCAUAUAUUUAUGUAAUAUAGACAUAAAUAUAUAUAUGUAUACAUACCAUCCGCAGACUCUAAGACAUACAUAAGCAUGUACACGCAAAAUUACACAGACACACACUCUCACAUACAUAUUUCAUUUUCUUUGUUUUAAUGCGAUUUUAAUCAUAUUGUUUCAAGACAUUUUCCUACACAAGAGACAACAAUAGAUAUCUUAAUCAUUUAUGCCUUUUCAGAUAUAUGCGAAACUAACACGUGGUUGGUAAUAUCGUUCAAACUCAAUUGGAACUAUAACAAGUGUACAUGUAGUUCAUAUUGGAUUUCAUUUCAAAUAAUUGCUUAUAAACAUAGAAGUAGCUGAAGUGUUUGUGGGAUGACGUCAGUAGCUGGGGAGCUGACCGGAACUCGGAUGAGUAAGGGCGCGUAGGUGACGCGCGCUCAGGCACGAGUGAGGGACAGCAGCUGCUAUUUUUAGCAGUUCGAGUCGGGCCACGUGGAAGGGUACGUUACCACUGGAGAGGUCUGCGUCGACGAAGAGAAGCCAGACAUUACAAACACGCAUUAGAAGGUAAAGCUCUAGCUUAUCAGUAGGCAGGUAUUGACAGUUCCUAUUACAAGCCGGCAUAAUCAAAGAAAUACAUGGGUGGUUAACUGCAAUGAAUCACUUUGUAACUAACCAGACAGAAAGCACUAAAAGACAACGGUUAAUUUCAGCACGGAGGAAUACUUAAAACAAGGAAUAUAUGUGUGUAUCUCUA